GGAUGUGAGGGUGAUCUGGCUGAAGUAUCUGUCACUCCAUUGAUGACUAGGGUUGAUUCAGCUGAUCUGGCUGGAUAGGCAGGUAUCCUCUUCCUAACCUGUCCAUUUGCAUCCUUCCUGAAGCUGCCCUCUCAGUCAAAGAUGAUGAUCUUCCAUAAAUAGAGACAGGCUAGUCUUUGGUCAAUGGUAUAGGAGUAGCUGUGAUCCCCACUAGAACCUCCAAGUAAGCUCUCAAGGUUUAAAGGAUUGUGACUUUACAGUUCCUCAUCAUACCCACCACUACUGCUACCUUCAGAGCAGCUAUAGU
rnacentral:snRNA from 1 species